GGCGUAACAAGGUCUCCGUAGGUGAACCUGCGGAGGGAUCAUUACACAAAUAUGAAGGCGGGCUGGAACCUCUCGGGGUUACAGCCUUGCUGAAUUAUUCACCCUUGUCUUUUGCGUACUUCUUGUUUCCUUGGUGGGUUCGCCCACCACUAGGACAAACAUAAACCUUUUGUAAUUGCAAUCAGCGUCAGUAACAAAUUAAUAAUUACAACUUUCAACAACGGAUCUCUUGGUUCUGGCAUCGAUGAAGAACGCAGCGAAAUGCGAUAAGUAGUGUGAAUUGCAGAAUUCAGUGAAUCAUCGAAUCUUUGAACGCACAUUGCGCCCUUUGGUAUUCCAAAGGGCAUGCCUGUUCGAGCGUCAUUUGUACCCUCAAGCUUUGCUUGGUGUUGGGCGUCUUGUCUCUAGCUUUGCUGGAGACUCGCCUUAAAGUAAUUGGCAGCCGGCCUACUGGUUUCGGAGCGCAGCACAAGUCGCACUCUCUAUCAGCAAAGGUCUAGCAUCCAUUAAGCCUUUUUUCAACUUUGACCUCGAUCAGUACGACCCCCGCCAA
rnacentral:rRNA from 1 species